rnacentral:misc_RNA from 1 species
GUUUCCAUUAAGAAUGUGUUUCUCUUCCCUUCUGUCUUGAGAAUGUGUUUGUAGAGAUCCUUUUGUUUUUUCUCAUUCUACAUCAAUUUGCUAUUAGAACAAAAGAACAAAAUACCAGGAGACAAUCUUCCCAAGCAAGAAUUCCUUUCUGCCCCCUAAGCUAAAUAUCUAGCUGGAAUAAUACAAUUCAAAAACAAGCUAAGUUCUCCCAUACCCCUCUUAACACCCCUAGUUCCCUUUAUAAAGAUUUCCUGCUCCUCCUGUCACAUGCUCCUCUGGAAAUUCCUCAAACAGAAUGUUGCUCUGCUGGACAGCUGAUUUGUGCCCUUCUAGAUCCUUUUCUGGCCUUCUAGAAUAUUCUAACUGUGUUCUCCUUGCUCUUCCUUGCAUGCCUACUAAUUUAUCAUCUGCAUCACAUAUUUAUUCAGCCAAUAACCGAGAUCAACUAACUGU